rnacentral:rRNA from 1 species
AUUGAACGCUGGCGGCAAGCCUAACACAUGCAAGUCGAACGAGUGGCGGACGGGUGAGUAAUGUCUGGGAAACUGCCUGAUGGAGGAGGAUAACUACUGGAAACGGUCGCUAAUACCGCCUACCAUCGGAUGUGCCCAGAUGGGAUUAGCUAGUAGGUGGGGUAAAGGCUCGCCUAGGCGACGAUCCCUAGCUGGUCUGAGAGGAGGACCAGCCAACCCGGAACUGAGACACGGCCCAGACUCCUACGGGAGGCAGCAGUGGGGAAUCUUCCGAAAUGGACGAAAGUCUGACGGAGCAACGCCGCGUGAGUGAUGACGGCUUUCGGGUUGUAAAGCUCGUUAAUCUGGACGACGGUACCGGAAUAGAAAGCCACGGCUAACUACGUGCCAGCAGCCGCGGUAAUAC